UUCUAGUUCCAGAUGGAUUUUGGGAGUGAUUUCUCUAGCUUUAUGAGACAGGUGUGUCCUGUGAGUCUCUGGCCCUCUCCAUGUUGCUUAGGGUCUUUCCAAAGCAUGCUGACUGGGGUUUUGCUGCCCUCCCAAAUUUGCUGUAAUCUGAGGUACACACAGGGAUGCAGGGAUGGUGCAGGCUAUCCUCGAGCCUCUGAGCCAGUUGACCCACAAGUUCCUUUAGCAACUUAGGCUGUACCUUGUGGAUAUCACAGUGUUGUGACAGUUUUGUCCCUGGAUACUGGGUCCCAACCAGAGACAUAGCUCACCCCCACAUAUCCCACCAGUCCUCUCUGCACCUGGGGUGGCCGACUGAUUCCACCAUGGUGCCAGGCUCUGCCCAGCUCCAAGAUGUCCUCCAGCCAGCAACAGCAGCCAUGGGACCCAAUCCCCAGCACUACUGGGAAUCAAUGCAGUUCUCCAUCUUGACUCCAGUCCACACUGCACUGUGUCCCACCAAGGCCUGGGACUCAACAAUUCCUGUUAUCGGCAGCCAUAGCUUCAGCUUGACCUUGAAUUGCCUGACUCCACGGUGUUCCCAGCACAGUGCGGACCAGUCUCAGUGAGCGCAUAGGGUUCCAGCAUUUUUCCUUCCUCCGCAAAUGUAGAUUCUAGCUUGAUGUGGUUUUUCCACUGCUAGAUCAGCAUCCUGCCUCUUCAGAAAACUGCGUGGCACCUGGCUUUGGUGCCCAGGUGCCCAGGCCCAGAAAACUCCGUGGCCUCCUCCAGCCUGGCCAGGUGGCUCCAGCUGCUCCACAGGGCCCCAGGACCCAAUUUCUAGUACUCACCGAGAGCCAAUAAAGCUCUCUACCUUGGCUCCACUCCACAAUGCGCCGCGUCCUCCCACCAAGGGUCCAGGAUUCAUUGACUCUUGUAAUCGGCAGCCGUGGCUUCAGCACGACUUUGGAUCUUCUGACUCUAGGGCGUGCCCAGCACAGCGUGGAACGGUUCUCAGUGAGCGUGUCAGGCUUCAACCUUCCACCCGCGCUUUUCCUUCCUCUUCCUAAUUUUAUUUUUCCCUUUGGUUUCCUCCUAGGUUAAUAAAAAUCAUUCUCCAAUCGUUUGGCCCUCUCCAUGUUGUGAAAUUCUAGCAUCUGAGCUGUUUUCUCCACAAAGGUUCUCUGUCCAGCUUCCUAGCAAGCCGCCAUUUUCCCCCCUAAAUUUUAUUUAUUUAUUUAUUUUUUGGUACUGGAGAUUGAACUCAUGACUGCAUGUUUGCAAGGCGGGCACUUAUGCUGCUGAGCUAAAUCCCCAGGCCCACUCCUAAAAUUUAUAUGGAACCAGGAGACCUAGAAUAGCAAAAGCAAUUCUGGGCAACAAAGGCAAGUCAGGGGGCAUCACAAUCUCAAUUCAAAGUCAUAUUACAAAGCUAUUGCAAUAAAAUAGUAUGGUGUUGGCAAAAAUCCCCAGCACCCAAGGAUCAGUGGAACAUAACAGAAAGUGCAGAAACAACUUUGAGCACACUCAGCUACCAUAUCUUUGACAGAAGUGCCAAACACCUUCACUGGAAGAAAGAUAGCUUCUUUAAUAAAUGGUCCUGGAAAAACUGGCUUUCUACAUGUUGAGGAUUAAACCUAGACCCAUAUCUUGCAUUAUGCACUAAACUAAAACUGAGAUAGGUAAAUAUCUAAAUAUUAAAACAGAAACAAUCUUGCUGGAAGAUAAAAUUGGUAAAACUCUUGAAGACACAGAUGUAGGCAAACACUUUAUGAAUAAAACCCCAAAUGCACAGGAAAUAUUACCAGGAACAACUGGGAUCACAUAAUAUUAAAAAGCUUUUGCACAACAAAAGAAAGCCCCCAACAGAGUGAAUAGACAAUCCACAAAGUGGGAAAAAUGUUUUCCAGCUGUUCUUCAAAAGGCUAUCUAGAAUAUAUAAAGAACUAAAAAAAAAUUAUACUCCACAAAUGUAAAAACCCAACCUCAAAUGGACAUCUGAAAUGAAUACACGUAUCAGAUGAAGUACAAACAGCAAAUUAAUAUAUGAAAAAAUAUUUAACACCACUGCUCAUUUGAGAGAUACAAAUUAAAACAUUGCUGUGGGGGCUGAGGAUUUAGCUCAGCAGCAGAAGUUCCUGCCUUGCAAGUGCAGUAGUGAGUUUGAUCCCAGGUACCAAAAAACCCAAACAAAAAAACACAAUGCUGAGAUCCCAUUUCACUCCUAUAAGGAUGAAAAUCAGCAGGAAAGCAACCAAUAACAAAAGGUGGUAAGGCUCUGGGGGAAAAGGAAUGCUUCUUCACUAUUGAUGGGAGUUUAAAUAGGUACAAUCACCAAGGAAAUCAGUAUGGAGAUUCCUCAAAAAACUAGCACUAGAGGUUCUAUUUGACCCAGCUAUUGCCCUUCUUGAAAGAGUUACAGUACAAGCAUCAUACCACAGAGAUAUUAUAGCAGCACAGUUUGCAGUAGCUAAAUCUUGGAAACAGUCUAGAUCCCCAUCAACUGAUGAAUGAAUAAAGAAAAUGUGGUUUUUGUAUACAAUGCAGUGCCAGUGCCAUAAAGUAGUACACCUGAGACAUUUUUAGGUAAAUGGAUGCACCUUGAUACCAUAUUUCUACUUUCUUUUUUUUUUUUUUUUAUGGGUACCAGGGAUCAAACCCAUAACCCUGUACUUGCCAGGCAGAUGCUUAUGCCACUGAGCUAAAUCUCCAACCCCUGAUACCAUAUUUCUAAGGGAAAUAAAUUGGAUAUAUGUGUCUAAA